rnacentral:rRNA from 3 species
GGAUGCGAUCAUACCAGCACUAAAGCACCGGAUCCCAUCAGAACUUCAAAGUUAAGCGUGCUUGGGCAAGAGUAGUACUAGGAUGGGUGACCUCCUGGGUAGUCCUCGUGUUGCAUUCC